UCCGUAGGCGGGCUAAUAAGUCAGGGGUGAAAUCCCACAGCUUAACUGUGGAACUGCCUUUGAUACUGUUAGUCUUGAGUUAUAUGGAAGUAGAUAGAAUGUGUAGUGUAGCGGUGAAAUGCAUAGAUAUUACACAGAAUACCGAUUGCGAAGGCAGUCUACUACGUAUAUACUGACGCUAAUGGACGAAAGCGUAGGGAGCGAACAGGAUUAGAUACCCUGGUAGUCC
rnacentral:rRNA from 1 species